rnacentral:rRNA from 1 species
CCUACGGGAGGCAGCAGUGAGGAAUAUUGGUCAAUGGACGAGAGUCUGAACCAGCCAAGUAGCGUGAAGGAUGACUGCCCUAUGGGUUGUAAACUUCUUUUAUAAAGGAAUAAAACGAGGCACGUGUGCCUUUUUGCAUGUACUUUAUGAAUAAGGAUCGGCUAACUCCGUGCCAGCAGCCGCGGUAAUACGGAGGAUCCGAGCGUUAUCCGGAUUUAUUGGGUUUAAAGGGAGCGUAGAUGGGUUGUUAAGUCAGUUGUGAAAGUUUGCGGCUCAACCGUAAAAUUGCAAUUGAUACUGGCAGUCGUGAGUACAGUUGAGGUAGGCGGAAUUCGUGGUAUAGCGGUGAAAUGCUUAGAUAUCACGAAGAACCCCGAUUGCGAAGGCAGCUUACUAAACUGUGACUGACAUUGAUGCUCGAAAGUGUGGGUAUCAAACAGGAUUAGAUACCCUGGUAGUC